GCUGUUAUAACUCAGUGGUAGAGCACUUCCUUGGUAAGGAAGAGGUCCCGAGUUCAAGUCUCGGUAACAGCU
rnacentral:tRNA from 1 species